rnacentral:tRNA from 1 species
GCUGGGGUGGCUCAGUCAGGUGAGCAUCCAACUUCGGCUUGGGUCAGGUCUGUAGGUUCAAACCCUGCAUCAGGCU